AGAGUUUGAUCCUGGCUCAGAAUGAACGUUGGCGGCGUGGAUUAGGCAUGCAAGUCGUGCGAGAAGUCUUUUGCUUGCAUUAGACGGACAGCGGCGUAAGGGAGAGUAACGCGUGGACUACCUACCCCCGAGACCGGGAUAGCUGCGGGAAACUGCAGGUAAUACCGGAUAAUAUCUCCGGAUCAAAUGGUGUGAUUCCGCUUGGGGACGGGUCCGCGUCCUAUUAGCUUGUUGGUGGGGUAACGGCCUACCAAGGCUUCGAUGGGUACCGGGCGUGAGAGCGUGGCCCGGCUCACUGGGACUGAGACACUGCCCAGACACCUACGGGUGGCUGCAGUCGAGAAUCUUCGGCAAUGGACGCAAGUCUGACCGAGCGACGCCGCGUGCGGGAUGAAGGCCUUCGGGUUGUAAACCGCUGUCAGAGGGGAUGAAAUGCUAUGGGGUACUCUCCAUAGUUUGACAAAUCCUCAGAGGAAGGACGGGCUAAGUUCGUGCCAGCAGCCGCGGUAAGACAAACCGUCCAAACGUUAUUCGGAAUCACUGGGCUUAAAGGGUGCGUAGGCGGCCCGGCAAGUUGGGUGUGAAAUCCCUCGGCUCAACCGAGGAAUUGCGCUCAAAACUGCCGGACUUGAGGGAGACAGAGGCGAGCGGAACUUGCGGUGGAGCGGUGAAAUGCGUUGAUAUCGCAAGGAACACCGGUGGCGAAGGCGGCUCGCUGGGUCUCUUCUGACGCUGAGGCACGAAAGCUAGGGGAGCGAACGGGAUUAGAUACCCCGGUAGUCCUAGCUGUAAACGAUGAGCACUGGGUCGGAGACUCCUCCAUAGGUUUCCGGCCGUAGCGAAAGUGUUAAGUGCUCCGCCUGG
rnacentral:rRNA from 1 species